rnacentral:rRNA from 1 species
AUUGAACGCUGGCGGCAUGCCUUACACAUGCAAGUCGAACGGCAGCGCGGGGCAACCUGGCGGCGAGUGGCGAAUGGGUGAGUAAUAUAUCGGAACAUACCCUAGAGUGGGGGAUAACGUAGCGAAAGUUACGCUAAUACCGCAUACGCACUAAGGUGGAAAGUGGGGGAUUCGCAAGAACCUCAUGCUCAUGGAGUGGCCGAUAUCUGAUUAGCUAAUUGGUGAGGUAAAGGCUCACCAAGGCGACGAUCAGUAGCUGGUUUGAGAGAACGACCAGCCACACUGGAACUGAGACACGGUCCAGACUCCUACGGGAGGCAGCAGUGGGGAAUUUUGGACAAUGGGGGCAACCCUGAUCCAGCAAUGCCGCGUGAGUGAAGAAGGCCUCGGUUGUAACUGCUUUGUUACGGAACGAAAGAACUCUGGUUAAGUACCUGGGUCCGAUGACGGUACCGUAAGAAUAAGACACCGGC